rnacentral:lncRNA from 1 species
AUGAUGAACUCGUUGCUCAUGCCUGAAGCAUCUUCUCCUGAGAUUUUAGUUUUCCUCUUUUCUUUCAUUCAAGAACUUCCCCAUAUGCCAGCCAUUCCUUGCCUUCUUCUGUGGCUCCCUGGAGUAGUUUCCCUUCCCUUCCUCCCUCACCCACCCUUCUUGCCCUUUGCCACAGACACUAUAUUCCCUCUUUUUUUUCCCUCCCCCAUAAUUAAAUGUAGAAGGCUCAAAGAGAAGUGCAUCAAGGAUGCAGAUCAGCAUUACAAGCUUUUUUUUUUUUUUUUCCUUUCGUUUGAUAGGCCUGCCAACAUUGUUUACUGUUUAGAUGAAGCUCCCUUUUCUCAAGACCUGUUUUUCAGGUCCUCUUUUGGGUCACUUGCAUAUCCAGACGUGCUUUUGCUAUCGUGGAAAUCUCCAAUGCAAGAAGCCAUCAGCAUGGCAGGGAGAAGUUCAGUUCGUGCCUGUGAAACAGUCUGCUUGGGAGAAAGGCCGGGCACCUGCCGCUUCCUGACUGCCUGCAUUGUGGAGGCUGGCAUCAAAACAACAUUGUUUAUUAAGAAAAAAAAAAAAAAGAAAAGAAAAAAUUACCACAUCCUGUUUCCAGAGAUGAACCCAAUUGCCUCCUAGUGUGUUUGAAGUUUUUUCCUGAGUCAUCUG